rfam:Candidatus Pacearchaeota archaeon CG1_02_31_27 cg1_0.2_scaffold_84_c, whole genome shotgun sequence.
AGCCCUGUGGUGCAGUGGCCAAACAUUCAGCCCUUUGGAGGCUGAGACCGCGGUUCGAAUCCGCGCAGGGCUA